rnacentral:rRNA from 1 species
AGUAAUGCUUGGGAAUCUGGCUUAUGGAGGGGGAUAACUACGGGAAACUGUAGCUAAUACCGCGUAGUAUCGAGAGAUUAAAGUGUGGGACCUUCGGGCCACAUGCCAUAGGAUGAGCCCAAGUGGGAUUAGGUAGUUGGUGAGGUAAAGGCUCACCAAGCCGACGAUCUCUAGCUGGUCUGAGAGGAUGACCAGCCACACUGGGACUGAGACACGGUCCAA